rnacentral:rRNA from 1 species
AGCGAACGCUGGCGGCAGGCCUAACACAUGCAAGUCGAACGAACCUUUCGGGGUUAGUGGCGGACGGGUGAGUAACACGUGGGAACGUGCCCUUAGGUACGGAAUAGCUCAGGGAAACUUGGGGUAAUACCGAAUGUGCCCUUCGGGGGAAAGAUUAAUCGCCUUUAGAGCGGCCCGCGUUUGAUUAGGUAGUUGGUUGAGGUAAUGGCUCACCAAGGCGACGAUCAGUAGCUGGUCUGAGAGGAUGAUCAGCCACAUUGGGACUGAGACACGGCCCAAACUCCUACGGGAGGCAGCAGUGGGGAAUCUUACGCAAUGGGCGAAAGCCUGACCUAGCCAUGCCGCGUGAAUGAUGAAGGUCUUAGGAUUGUAAAAUUCUUUCACCUGGGACGAUAAUGACGGUACCCGGAGAAGAAGCCCCGGCUAACUUCGUG